rnacentral:lncRNA from 1 species
ACCUCAGGAGAUAUCAUCUAACUUACUAAAAGCUAUGGUGUUUCUAUUACUUUUGAAGGGACUAGUUUGAAGCUCAAAUAAAUGGAACUCCUCCAUUGUAGGGAUCUUGUAGUCAAAAAGAUCCCACAUAAGGUUGCUUAGUCGCUGGCAAUGAAUCGAAGAUCUCUACACACUAUGGCUGCUCUUAAUACAAUUGAUAAUUUUGUGCUUUUACCGACUGUCAGUUACUUUCCUCCAUGC